rnacentral:lncRNA from 1 species
UAAAGUCUUUGGCCAAAGCAAAUGAAUAUGACUUAGGAAGUUUGUUCCAAAUCAUAUUCAUGGGAAUCAUAUAGGAAAGUAUCACAUUGGAUAGUAGACAUGAAACAAACUAUCACGUAAACAAUGUGAUUAAGAGUAUUGUAUUAGAGAAGGACCGUAUUGCAUUGUAGUUGUAACUGGAUAGGUUCUCCAACCAAUUCUACUUAGCUUGGGUAACCAUGACAUACUGCUAGGUGUCACUCAUGGUUUGUGGAAGCCGAAAUGAUUAGGUAACACUAAUCAUUAAAGG